ACAGGUUCAUAAUUCCUAAAAUUUGUGGUUGCCCAGAGAAACCAUCACCAAGCUAAAUCGACACAAUACCUAAAGCCUGUUCACUAGUGCAUCUUCAUUAUAUAGGUGCAAACUUUGUUUAUGACCUUGUUGUUCUGUAGGAAAAAAGCAGUACUCAGCAGAGCAUGGAGAGAGUAUAUACAAUAUAUGCCUUUUGAACUCUAUGUAGCUUCUGUAGGAUCAUGCUCAGUCCUAGGUGGAGAUCAACACAGAAGCCAUUAGCACUGCCCUGAUACAACAGGCUGCAAUCUCUCACCAGACUAAGGUGGAGAUGCGUAUACUUAUGUUUUGCAACUAAGGCUAUUUGUUUUUAUUAGACUUCAGCAGCAGAAAGCAGUUCAAAAGCACAAGAGGUGGUAUGGAAGAGUGUCAUCACUGUCAACACCUGAGUGGUCUCUGGAAAAAAACAAAAAGACAGUGUAGAAAGAAAAGCCAAAUCCCACUCACUCAAGUCGCAGCACCAGGCAGUUCUCCUCCUGGCUUUCUCAACACAGUGAGAACUGGAGGAUUAAGGCUUUUAGGAUGACAGCAAAGCUACCUAAAGAAGGAAGACCACAUCAUGCAAUCAGCCGAAGUGAGGAGGACUGGUUCCACUCUGUGCAGACAUGAACUGCGAUAGACAACUGUGUUCAGGCACACCAAAUGGGAACCUACUCUUUAAAAAAGAUACCUUCUUGUUCAGCUAAAAUGCCUUCUGUUCUCUCCUGUGAGCAGAAAACUGCACCAGGAACUGGUUUAUCUUCAAACAUCUGAAGGAGGGAGGGGAGAUCAAGCCUUUCCUUGUCCUCAUGUUGUCCAGAGCUUCUUCCAAAAACUGCACAGGCCACUCAGAGGUUACAUAUUUACUGGUGAUUGCAUAAUACUGAAAGUCAUUACACUUGCAUGCCUUGCUCUGAGACAUACUGAGCAGCCUCAUGUCUUGCUAUGGGUCAUAAGCUCUACACUGAGUGGCAGAUGUCCAGUAUCUGUCAGGCUCAAGCUCCUAUUCAGGUAUUGCUGAGAAAGAGAAAUAACCAAACCAACGAUGUGGCAUAGAACCACCUGCAACUAUCACAAUGCUCAUUAGCAGCUACAUGAUUAUCUCUCUUAAAAGCCAAAUGGAUGGAAAACACAAUGUUUACAGAAACUCUUCUAUAGCAAAACUUAACAAAAUGCUGAUACAUUGCUAGCAUUGUAUUACCAUAGGGCUACCGAACUGAUUUUCACUGAAAACAUAAAAGCCAUGGGGAGAAACCAGCGCAUGGCGGUGUUUCAGAUCUGGUGAGCUGAUGGUUUUCUUUACUGGAACAAGCAUGAUUAUACUGUAGCUGCUCUUCAGUGCUGAUAGAUCCAUUUGCACACUCUGGGAGAAUCAUAAGACCUCUAGCAAGAAUGCAGGAGGCAUCACACACCAGGACAUUAGUAAGGGCUGCCAUAACAUAUUCACACUCUCAACUCUUACCAAAGCCUCUUAUAUGAGUAAUUCAGAUGUAAGCAUGGAUCUAGAACAAUGCCAGUUCCAGAUCCAAGUGCUACAGCUCAACCCCCUCUCUGGGCUACAAGCUCAAUGUAGAUUUUCUACAUGAAAGUGACAAUUCUAAAUUUAAUAUGAAAAUCAGUUUAACAAGUCCCAGUACAAACUAGUUAAUAUAUUUUCCUUCUCUUUUGCUCCUCCCAGUUCUUUGGCUUCGUUAGGUUUUGGGUUAGGUUUUUAAGUCCGUGUUUGGUAUUCUAGGCUCUUGCAGUACUACUUUUUAGCUAACCAUAUUAUUUUAGAUAACAUGCCGUUACCCAGAAUGGCCUUCAGGCCUUCAGUUAACUGAAUAAACCAUUUCAC
rnacentral:lncRNA from 1 species